rnacentral:ncRNA from 1 species
CACCACUUGGUGAAGAUUUUGUCAUAGGGAUAUGGGCUAGUAGGCAGUUGCUCGAAAACCCGUAAGACAAACAAGGAA